CUGUCGAGCUCAAACAGGCUCUGAAAAGCCAAAGUCAAGAAAUCGACUCUAACUGGUCUAACAACCAACGAGUAACGUGCCCUCAGCACAAUCUGACGCCAAAAAGGCGAUACGGGUCCACCGUCACUCUAACGGCACCCCACAGUCCGGAACAACCUGAACAACACUGUAAAAAUCCACUCGGCAUACCAGCACGAGCGUAAAUGUAUACUAAACCA
rnacentral:lncRNA from 1 species